AUGGCCAUCGUUCAUGGCGAUGUGAAGUCAGCUAACAUUCUCCUCGACGACAGGUUUGUGCCAAAGGUGUCAGACUUUGGCACGUCGAGGCUCCUGUCCAUGGACAAGGACCACCACACCAACUGGGUGAUCGCGGACAGGCACUACAUUGACCCCGUGUACAUGAAAACCGGGCUGCUCACCACGAAGAGCGAUGUGUAUAGCUUCAGUAUCAUCCUGCUGGAGCUCGUCACCCGGAAGAAGGCGAUUUACAAUGGAAAUCAAAGCCUUCCCAUGGAAUAUAUCAAGGCUUCCGUGGAAGGGUCAGCGAGGCAGAUGUUUGAUAAAGACAUUGUGGCAAAUAGGGAGGAGCAUAUGGAGUGCCUCGAGGAGGUUGGCAAGAUCGCGCUGCAGUGUCUCGAUGAGAACGACGUAAAUGACAGGCCCACCAUGGGUGAAGUCGUGGACAGACUUAAAGCGUGUAAGAGCCAGUGGUUGGAAUGUCAUUGA
rnacentral:rRNA from 1 species